UCGGUUCGGGCAACAACAACAACAAAAACUUCAAGAGAAUACAGAGAGAGGGUGAACGUGUGCGUACGCACGCGUUUUCAGUCACCAAUACAGAGUCGCAGUAGGCCGGGAGAGGAUCGUGUACGAUCGCGCGCUCUCUCUUAAUUUUAAGAUGUUACCAAUACUGGUGAGGAUCCUCUCCGCUCCGUCUCUCUUGUUUUCCGAUGAUCGUGCUGGUGUUGGUUUCACGCACACAGUCAUAGCAAGCGGAAAAUGUCUUUAUUAUUGUAGUAAAUUCAGAACGAAAGCAUUAUGAACCGGGGUGGUCCACUGUGCCAAAUAUGGACAGCAACGUGCUGCGCGCGGCGGUUGAUCGGUGGAGGAUCACGGCGGAGUCCGCACUCCCUGGAGAGGAAAUCCCGCUCUUCAACCGCGUGAGUCGGUUUGUGUGUGUGCGUCCACACUUCGUUUGACUCGGCUCGUGUGUUGUUGUUGUCUCGCUGUGCGGUAGACUACUUCCAGUUCUUUGCCUUCCCCCCCGGGUCUCCAAGAUCUCCCCGCGCGAGGACGUAGCUUCGAGGCGGGCCCUUCCUGUGCUGUCCCCAUCAACAAGCCAAGGCAAUGAGAGAUCUGUAUAAUUACAUAAUAAAUAUUUAUUUUAAUUAUA